rnacentral:rRNA from 1 species
GACGAACGCUGGCGGCGUGCUUAACACAUGCAAGUCGAACGGAAAGGCCCUGCUUUUGUGGGGUGCUCGAGUGGCGAACGGGUGAGUAACACGUGAGUAACCUGCCCUUGACUUUGGGAUAACUUCAGGAAACUGGGGCUAAUACCGGAUAGGAGCUCCUGCUGCAUGGUGGGGGUUGGAAAGUUUCGGCGGUUGGGGAUGGACUCGCGGCUUAUCAGCUUGUUGGUGGGGUAGUGGCUUACCAAGGCUUUGACGGGUAGCCGGCCUGAGAGGGUGACCGGCCACAUUGGGACUGAGAUACGGCCCAGACUCCUACGGGAGGCAGCAGUGGGGAAUAUUGCACAAUGGGCGGAAGCCUGAUGCAGCAACGCCGCGUGCGGGAUGACGGCCUUCGGGUUGUAAACCGCUUUCGCCUGUGACGAAGCGUGAGUGACGGUAAUGGGUAAAGAAGCACCGGCUAACUACGUGCCAGCAGCCGCGGUGAUACGUAGGGUGCGAGCGUUGUCCGGAUUUAUUGGGCGUAAAGGGCUCGUAGGUGGUUGAUCGCGUCGGAAGUGUAAUCUUGGGGCUUAACCCUGAGCGUGCUUUCGAUACGGGUUGACUUGAGGAAGGUAGGGGAGAAUGGAAUUCCUGGUGGAGCGGUGGAAUGCGCAGAUAUCAGGAGGAACACCAGUGGCGAAGGCGGUUCUCUGGGCCUUUCCUGACGCUGAGGAGCGAAAGCGUGGGGAGCGAACAGGCUUAGAUACCCUGGUAGUCCACGCUGUAAACGGUGGGUACUAGGUGUGGGGUCCAUUCCACGGGUUCCGUGCCGUAGCUAACGCUUUAAGUACCCCGCCUGGGGAGUACGGCCGCAAGGCUAAAACUCAAAGGAAUUGACGGGGCCCCGCACAAGCGGCGGAGCAUGCGGAUUAAUUCGAUGCAACGCGUAGAACCUUACCUGGGUUUGACAUGGAUCGGGAGCGCUCAGAGAUGGGUGUGCCUCUUUUGGGGUCGGUUCACAGGUGGUGCAUGGCUGUCGUCAGCUCGUGUCGUGAGAUGUUGGGUUAAGUCCCGCAACGAGCGCAACCCUUGUUCACUGUUGCCAGCACGUUAUGGUGGGGACUCAGUGGAGACCGCCGGGGUCAACUCGGAGGAAGGUGGGGAUGGCGUCAAGUCAUCAUGCCCCUUAUGUCCAGGGCUUCACGCAUGCUACAAUGGCUGGUACAGAGAGUGGCGAGCCUGUGAGGGUGAGCGAAUCUCGGAAAGCCGGUCUCAGUUCGGAUUGGGGUCUGCAACUCGACCUCAUGAAGUCGGAGUCGCUAGUAAUCGCAGAUCGGCAACGCUGCGGUGAAUACGUUCCCGGG